rnacentral:ribozyme from 1 species
GCAGCUACUGGUUCUACAGGAGGAGCAAAACGCCUCCGAGAUCGAAGCUGUCAGCGGGGAGCUCGUAAACACUGGCCAUGGCACAGAAACGAUUCGCA